CAGAGAUAUUUCAUCUCUUUCUGUUCUUCAUGAUACUGAUUUGCCUACUGGAAUAACUUGGACAUACCCUGCUAACCACAUUCCCAUGGCACAGGCACCCCCUGGCUGAUUUUGUUCUCUGUCUGCUGUAAUCUCUCAAAGCCUGAAGUGUGUCAGUCUUUGAGCAAAACAAAUGCAGUUAUCUGAAUGGUGGCACAGCCUUGAUAACAGAGUCAUUCAGUGGUUUCUUCUGUCUUGUGUUUCAUAGAAACAAGGAAGUUACGGUUAAAGCAUGGUUAAGAAUCAAAGGAUACAUUUUUUAAACAAAGGCUGAGGCUACCAUAUGUACAGUGAUUGGGAUGUGUUGUUUUUUGUCUUUUUUAUCUUUUUUUUUUUUUUUUUGACAUGUCCUCUUAACCUGUUCUUUGAAUUCAGGAGAAUAUUUAGUGAAAGAUCAAUAUUUUGGAUUUAAGGCGUUAUCUGUAAGGAGAGGCAGACAGAGACUGCCUGUGCUGACAACAGGAUGUCAGCUGUAGGUGUUGGUGAUCUGUGGAAGUGAUGGGGAGGUGAAGUCAUGGGCCCGAGACGCUCUGAGUUCUGGAGGAGCUGGGGAAACAGGCAGGCACAACAGCUACAUGUGAUGUGAAGAACUAUGAGGCCAUCUGAUAGGGAUCAGAGGAAGGGAAAUGACUGGAGGACGUGGCAGGAUGCAGAGGUCUGAAAGGAGAUGGGAGAGCCCUGUCAGCAGAGGGUAUUCAAAGUGUCCUGAGCAAGAUGGGGCUUAGAUAUAGUAGGUCUGAGGAGGCUUUGAGAUUCAAGGUUUCAGGGUCCUGAAAUCCCUCAGGCUUUUGUGAGUGGAGUGAUAGUAAGUUACUUGGAUUUUAUUCUGCACUCUGUGGACUGCCAUGGAGCAUUUGUCACUCUUAAAAGUACUAGAGCAGAUCUCAUUUAGGGGGUAGAGACACAUGGAAAAAAACUUGCUUCCUCCUCCUGGCAGCAAUGAUAUGUGUUCUGCACAUGAAGGCUGAUCUAGCUGACUAUUUUCAGAAAUGCCAUAAGCUUAUCCAGGUGUGACAAGCUUCCAAACCUUCUAGAAAAAAACUGAAUGGAUGGAGAUUCUGUUAAUCUUCAGGAAAGACUGGAAAUUAAAAUGACAAUUUAGAUUUUUUUUCUUUCGUCAAACUCAAACUUUAAUGGAGAAAUCACUAUCAUACAGAUACAGCGACUCCUGUGGAUUCAUCUGGAUGAGAUUUCCAAUGUUGGAAAACAGAAAGCCUUGAAAGGGAGCAGGGGGAGGAGGAGUGAUUCUGCUCUGAGAAAGAAAGAACAAGGUCUUUAAUGAAUAUUCACUUCUCAGGGACAUGAUAUGAUUCAGUCAACGUGGCUAGAUGACAGAACCCAUCUAGAUCCUCAGGGAUAAUUACGACAGAAGGACUAGCUAAGAACCAGUCACAACAGGCAAUUCUACGCUGAAGAAGAACUGCUACCUUCUAAUACCUCUUCCUACCAAACCUUGGAAACCAGGCGCCAGGCGUUCAACACAGAGGUAACCCUCUGCUCCCAUCCGUACUAGCUUCAAAACUGAGGAGUUAUCACAGUGGGCAGAGCAGGUUUGCUUUUCCCAUCCCUGUGAAAAUCUCCUUAGAAGCACAGCAUAUCCCAAGCCUUCUUUCUGAAGGGCACAGAAAAGACAGGUGAAUGAAUAGCCUUUAUUGGAUGUCUUGGACAAUUCCUGUAGAAGGCGUGCAGUGAGUACCUGAGGUUCCUUCAUCAUGAAAUUUAUGUUGCAGCAGAUUAGACAGAAGAUUGGACAUCCUCUGAGGUGUUAAUGAUCUCCUCUAGCAGAUUUCCCAUGGAAGGAACUCCCAAGUGUUUGAGUGUUUUUGUCCAAAUGUGGUCCAUAUCAGUUCUGCCUCCUCAAAGUCUUCUUAGCCCAAACUGAGCUUGUAGUCAACUCAGACCAUACCAACCAGCUGCUUCCCUCCCCCCGACCCCACCCCAGUUUUGCAUAGGUUUUGCAUAGGGAAAAACAGGAUGAAAUCCAUGUAAUAAGAGAAAUGUCUUCUACAAAUAUACAUGAGGAACAAAAGGAACUUCUGUAAGUCUAUUACUUGAUGUUGAUGGUUUAAAGUGCUAGUAAUGAGACGUUAUGAGACAGAUGCAUUCAAUAAGUAUUUCUGUUCUGGUGGAUCAAAGCUGGAAGGAAGUAUGAAUACAUUAUGAAGCUGAUGAAAUGUUUUCUGGUCUUACAGUAAAAUGGGUGAAUGCAAGUCAACUCAGAUCUGUGUCAGCAAGGCUCUAUAAAAUGGCACCGAGUUUUCUUAAGGCAGCAACUCAGGAAGUUGUACUUUCUCUAGGCAGGUAAUGAAUGCUGAGCUUGUACCCAGAGGUCAGAGGUAUGACCCAAUUAAUAGUAAGCUGGUUGGCCUAGCUUACUACUGGUCUUGGGAUCAGCAUGUAGGAAAUGGCUGAUACUGAAGACAAAAGUAAAAUCUGUUCCAAUUAAUUUAACUUUAGUGGAAUUUGAGCUUGUCAAGUCAUCCUAGUACCUCUAGUUGAAAAAACACUUCAAGAUCAGAACUGUGAUGAGUUAGUCAUCUGACUGUAAAUUUUUUUAAUAUACCAUUUUUAGAAGACGCUACUUGAUUUCAACAAAGAUAUCUUAUGGGCAAUUAUCAGUGGGGAAGUCUUUCCAGAAGGGAAUCACUCAUUUCUCCUUUCCACCCAAUACAAUCUGUUUUUAAAUCACAAAUAACACAUGAACAACUGCAAAUGCACUUUUAAGAUAGUACGAAAUGUGAAAAAAUAAAGAUGACAGUGCUUUUGUUUGAAAGUGAUCAGACUCACUUCAUAACCUCGGUUCAACCAAAUGCAACCAAAACAGUUCGUCCUUAGAAACAAGAGAGCAUGAACUGUUUUUACAGGAUUGGGUACUGUAUCACAGAAAGCUUGAAAAGGUCUAUGGGGAUUGUCACAUGUAAUCAACUGUGCAUGAACUCCUACUAUAAUCUCAUUAUUAAAACAGUUACAGUGGUCACUGGAAGUACAGAGAUGGGGGCUGGGAUUGGGGAUGCAGUAUUCUGUCUGUGUAAGGAAGAAAUAGGGCCACUUUUGCAGUGGCUGCUGAAGUGGAUAGAGGAGCCAAGGGAGAAAUAGUUAAAGGAUCAGGACCUUCACAUAGGACACAUUUAUUCCAUGAUUAUUUCAUGAUGGAUUACCCCAGAAAAUAGCUUCCAAAAGUUUUUCCAUGAAACAGCAGAUCAUGCAGCUCCUCUGCUGGACCCUCCCUUAAGUCAUGUUUUCUGGAUUAUGUUCCAGAGGAAAUCAGUAGGGGUUGCAGCUUUCUGAGGUGAGUUUAGUGUUGGAUACCUGCCUAUGUGCUGUGACACGCUGCCUUGGCUAAUAAAUCGUGACCUCUGUGGUUAUAUCGGUCAAAUGCUUUCUCAGCCAGAGCAAUUCCCAGCAAAUCAGUGGGCUCCUUUCACAGUGCCCAUCUGACAAGCACGGGGUAGCGCACAGAUGGUUUAGAUAUAAAAAAGAAUGUUGCAUCAGUACUGUAUGUGUGAAAUGUUUCAAUUAUUCCUAAAAUAUUUUUAACGUGUUCCAGAUUUAUCAGGCAAAAUGUUUAGGAAGUAAUUGGAGUUUAUUCUGUUUUUAAUUUUGGUAUAGUAUAUUAUAAUAAACACAUGUUCAAAAUACAUUUUAGGUAUCACCAAAUAUUUAUAAAAUGUGUAUAGGUGGAAAUCCCAAGGUCACUACAGUAGCUUUAUUUUGCCAGUCUGUUUACAAGGAGAUGAGUCAUUAAAACCUAUGGCUGUUUCUAUCUGUACCGAGAAUCCUUCUCCUGCAGGCAGUGGAUAACCUACUGGUUUUACAUAUUCAUGUAAGAUUAAGCUUUCUCUGAUUGCAGAGGUUGAAUUUAACCCUCCCUCAUAUUAUUUGUAAUAAUAAAAACUUCUAGUGGUAUUUCCAAGUGGACAUAUAUGUCUCAUAUUUAACAUCUGAUCAUAUUACCGUCAUUUUCCACUAUAACUAAAAGAUGAAUUAAAUAAAUGAGUAUCCCAAGCAAUUCUGUUUAGGAAAUCAGAUGAAAGAUGGUGUCAUACUUCUUGAAACACACAGUGGGCUUUUGCAAUUAGAACUAAUUGGUAUGUUGUGUGCAUCACUACCUGCCUUAAGAAAUACUGACGAAGCUUCGGGGUGGGAUGGGUGUUCUAUGGGGCUGGGGGUGAGACUGGGGGGGGGGGGGAUCUGUGGGACUGGGAGGUGGAAUUGUUCUACUAGGGAACAUUGUUCCAUUUGUUUUAAAACGAAGAUUGACUGUUUGCUUUUGAUCUCCUUCUUGUCCUUGGAGAUUUCAGGUGUGGAAAAAGGCACACAUUUUCCUAGCCUGAAGAGUAAAAUAUUGCCCCCCACAAUUCUCAUUACCUUAAGUGAACUCAGUUUAUAUUUUUUGUUGUUGUUUUAUUUUUCUUUAUCCAAAGUUUAUUCAAAGUAUUCAUUAAGAAAAUCUCGAUGUAGAAACACCUUGCAUUAACCAAAGCAAAGUUGGUUUCAGUGCCCAAGACCAAGAUGCCUAAUCUCCUCCUUGCCCCAGCUGUUAGGGACAAGCAUGUUUUCCGUUUCAGCUCACAGAACAGUUGCAGUGUUGGGGGGAUGAGAAAACAGACAUGGGUUGAUCUGAGAGCAAAGAUUUGUGGUGGUAGAGCAAGACUGGCAAAGGAGGAGCCAGUGCCAUAUACAGAAGUAGCUGCAAACCCAAGAUUCCCUCAAAAUGUGAUGACAUACAUGUGUAGACAUGUACUGUUUCAGCAGGUAUUGUGGUGCCCCAAAGAAACAUUUUGAAAGAUGAAAGCAUUGGGGAUUUUUGUUUUCACUGUUUUUCCUCACUUUUUUUAAGUAAAAAUGUUAAAUUCAGCUCUGUUAAAAGAUUAAGCUCAAUCCCAAACAAAAUCUAGACAUCUAGGCUGUACUGACUCCUGCUGCUGUCUUAGGAAAUAUUGACUUUUCUGAAAGAAAAACUAUUUCCUCAAUUCUAAUUUUCAUUAAAAACAUACUGUAGUACAGAUGCUGUUUUGCAAUAUUCUUUUAAUCUCUGUGGAUUUAUUUUAUGUGUUUACUCCAACAGAAAAUUCUUAUUAGCAACGAUUCUUCAACUCUUUCUCUUACCUCAGUGGUGUGGCUGACCCCUCUGUAUGCCUCAUCUGAAGGCUCACCAUCCACUGACAGUAAUCUGAGGAGGUCCGGGGACAGCAAAUGAUGGCUGAACUUGAUGAUCACAGGGGUCUUUUCCAACACCAAUGAUUCUAUAAUUUGAAUGACUUUUGACAUUGUACGGCUGUUACACCUGUGAUCACAAAUACCUUAUGUCCACGAUAACAUUGGAAAUCUUGUUCAUUUUGCACCACUUCCAGAAAACAGCAAGAAGCUGUAUAAAAGUAUUUCAAAAGGAAGGAGCUGGUGAAGCAAGACAGCAAUUUGGUUUAUUUAUCAGUGUUAGUAAUUCCAUUCCAGCCCAUGAAGCCAGCAAGUAUGGUUCAUAUUGAGAAUAUCUAUGUGAAAAGUAAUGGCAAAUUAUGCAAAUAAAUUGGCUACAAUAAGACUUUUUCACUCUUUUUUUUUUUCAGUAGUUUAUCAUGCUGCAGUCUAAUCAAGAUAUGGUAAAGGGUGGUACAGACAUUAUUCAGGAACUUAAUGCCACAUAAACCUAAGCAAUUCAUUUUUCUAACAUUUUUAAUUGUCUGCAGAUAUACAGAUAGAGAC
rnacentral:lncRNA from 1 species